rnacentral:sRNA from 1 species
CCGGCGCUCGGAGCCCGAGUCCGCGGGAAGAUGGCGGCGCCGCUCAUCCCCCUCUCCCAGCAGAUUCCCACUGGAAAUUCGUUGUAUGAAUCUUAUUACAAGCAGGUUGAUCCGGCACACACAGGGAGGGUGGGGGCGAGUGAAGCUGCGCUUUUUCUAAAGAAGUCUGGCCUCUCGGACAUUAUCCUUGGGAAGAUAUGGGACUUGGCCGAUCCAGAAGGUAAAGGGUUCUUGGACAAACAGGGUUUCUAUGUUGCACUGAGACUGGUGGCCUGUGCACAGAGUGGCCAUGAAGUUACCUUGAGCAAUCUGAAUUUGAGCAUGCCACCGCCUAAAUUUCACGACACCAGCAGCCCUCUGAUGGUCACACCGCCCUCUGCAGAGGCCCACUGGGCUGUGAGGGUAAGUGAACGGGAAUAGCUCCCUCCUUGGCUCUCCUUCAGAUAGAAUUGUUCCAGCAGUUGUUCUAGAAUUGUUCUGGAAUUGUUCUAGUUUGAUGUUGUUCAGAACAUUUUAUAGGAUGAUUGUGUCAGCUCUUCUGUCUCAGUGUGAGUGGCCACAGCACUUGGAUGAAAUGCCUCUUCUAAUGAACACCUUUUACAAAGGCUGUGGCCCUUCACUGGAAUUGGGAGUUGCCUACCUGGACAACUAAGUGUCAGGAGUUGGAUUAUUAAAGGGCUGCAGUUUAAAUCUUGCAUCUUUAGGUCACAUUCUGUGGUUUUUGCUGCUUGUGUUGGUUAUUC